rnacentral:lncRNA from 1 species
CCGUAUUGUUGAAACACUGCAGACAAUGAAGGGUAAUUCAAAUUCCCAACAUGACCAGCUCUUGUUGCUCCGCUGCAAUCUGCUUUUCUCCUAGUGAUCACUUGAAUAUUAUUAACCGUGUAAUUUGAAUUGCACAAGAAAUUCACAUAAUCAUAUGAAGUCAAAUCAUAAAUCAGCCCAGGAUUCAUUGCCUUUUGGGGGUGAACAUGACCAGCUCCAAAAUCUAACGCAGUGGAAGUAUUCCCAGUAGACUCAUCAAUCAUCGUCUCACCCCGAUUAUCAACUGUAUAAGCAGUUGUCAUCAAUGCAGACCUUAUUGCUGCAGGGCUCCAAUCAGGGUGUGCCGCCUUUAACAGAGCAGCAAGCCCAGAAACGUGUGGGCAAGCCCAGAAAUUGGAUAACUUUAUAUACCAUCAUCAACAUCGUGCAGUCACGCAAUUCUAUGUACAACAAGAAAUCCAUUGUUUUCCAUUACAAGAUCAGAAAAAUGAAUUUUCCCACUAUCUAUAUAACUGCAACACACUAAAAACCAAACAAAUGACAAAGAGAUAACUGAAAAAAUUACUACCAAAUGGUUACACAAAAAGGUAGAUCAAGUGAUAAUUUUAUCUCCUCUUAAGAUCCCAGAACCGAAAAUUUCAACCAUUUCACAUAAAACAAAAUAUAGAAAAAAAAAAGAGGAAAAAUUUAAGCUUCCAUUUUAUAAAGCUAAGCAACAGAAACCUCUAAUCCAACCAAUAUAAUAGAUCAUGUCAAUAGAUGCUUGAUUUGACUGACCAAGCAAACUAGUGAAUAAUCUAUGCAAGUCUGGACAUCCCAUCUAUCUAAACAAAGAAGAAAAAAUUCCAAGAAAGAACAUCUCUAAAAUAUGAUCAUCAGAAUUAUCGAUUGAACAUCUGCAUCACAAAACUAACUUCCAACAGCACAAAUUAAAAAUGUCAAUUCAAGGACAAAAGAAAAGCUUGAUUGGAACAAAUGAUCCACAAACCAGGAUCAAAAGCCAACAAGGACUUUAAACUCCAACCCAACAAGAAACUUCUUUUAUACAAAACAAAAAUCAGAACUUUAGAUGACAAUCAGCGCCAAGUCAUAAAAAAUUAUUUUUACCCCUAAAAUAAAGACAAAGGAAAGUGAAGAUCAAAGCAUCUACUCAAAUUCCAUAACUUGUUAAAAAUUAAAAUAAAAAACAGAAAAUAAGCUACCAAAAAAAAAAUAUUACUACAAUUAUUUAAUCUAACUUUGAAAUUUUUUUCUUAAUCUUAAUUCUUUUUUUUUUCCAAAGAUGAUUAAUAAAAUUUUUCUUCUUUCUUGGUGCAGGAUUAGCUAAAUUAAAAAACUUGGAAGCGUUGGAUUUGAGUGAUAAUUAUAUUAUACACGGUUCUUUAGAAUGUAAUUUUUUUAAUUAAACAAUUUGCACAGUUAAUUUUCAUUCAAUAUUUACCAUAUUAUUUAAUUAAACAAUUUAGAUGAGAGUGACCUAGCUAUUAUUGAAAAAAUUUAUAUUUUUUUAAACAAGAUUAGCAAAUUUGACAAACCUGCAAGUGUUUGAUUUAAGCGAUAAUAAUGAAAAUUUGACAACGCUAGGUAAGCCACAACGUCUGAGAUAAGAAGCAAAUUAAGAAUUAAUGUUUAUCAAGUGCACGGAUUACAUACAAUGCUUUUGAAUGUAAUAUUUUCAUUCAAAAGCAUUGGAUCUUCGUGAUUGUGGAAUAACCACAAUUCAAGGUCUACAGCAAUUCACUUCCUAUUAAUGUCGAAUUUAGAAAAAGUUUUCGACAGCCCUCUCUUUUUAGUGUUUUUAAAGUAUUAUUGAUAAAUGUAUAUAACAACCCAAAGAUUAUAAACAUUUUUUAAAAUUUAUUGACUUAAUUCUUCUAUUCCUCUAUUUUUUUCCAAAAUAGUACAAGCUUAUCCGUAACAUGGCCAAGUAAUAUUUGAAUUUUGAUAAAUAGUUUAAUUAUUUAAAAAAUAGUUAAAUUGAAAAGCUUGGAAGCAUUGUAUUUGAGUGACAAUAAUAUAAACGGUUCUUUAGAAAGCCAAGGUAAAAUUUUUAAAUAAAUGGCUUACAUAGAUUUGAGUGGCUUACCUAGCGCUGUCAAAUUUUCAUUAUCGCUUAAAUCCAACACUUGCAGGUUUGUCAAAUUUACUAAUCUUAUUAAAAAAAUAUAAAUUUUGUCAAUAAUAAUUAAGUCACUCUCAUCUAAAUUGUUUAACUAAAUAAUAUAAUAAAUAUUGAAUGAAAAUUAACUGUGUAAAUUGUUUAAAUAAAAAAAUUACCUUCUAAAGAACCGUGUAUAAUAUAAUUAUCACUCAAAUCCAACGCUUCCAAGUUUUUUAAUUUCGAUGACCUCUUCAGCUCCGGCCAGAGAUACUCCGCCGUCAGCUUCUUUGGCCGGCCCGGCACGGUGGGCGGGAUGUAGCCCGAAAUGAUAGCACCUCCACACAUGGUUAAGGGUUUAUCGUUUCUUCUGGUUUGUUCAGGGACUAAAGAGAAAAGAUUUUUAGAAGAGAAUGGGUUAAAUGUAAAAAUUUGCUUUUGUUGGCUUGAGAGAGUUUUGGAUUCUUCAGUGUCUAGUGAAUGAUGAGGUUCAAGGGUUGGCGGAGGGUAGACGGCUUUAUAUUGUAGAGAGAUGUUAUUAGACUAUUUUAACCUCGAGUGGCGCGGUAAUUACAUUUUGGUUCAAGAGCUACACCUAAACCGACUAAAUGCCAUGAAUGAUAACACAAUUUUUUUCUUUUUAAUUUUUUAUACCCUGAUCAUGUAUGUACUCUUGAUAAUCUUGGUAGCAAACUCAUGUUAUUGAAACUUCCAAUUUCAGUUAUUACUAUCUGGUAUUACAAAGUGAGUGCGAUUCAUACGAGAGUAUAUAUUAUACUUAAAAAUGAUAUUAUCAUGAGAUUUUAUAACGUUUAUACAGAUUGACAAUAUUAUUUGACAUCAUAACAUUCAUAUAUUUAAAAUUUAUUUAUUGAUUAUUAUGUGAUCUGAACAUUUAAAAAUAACUAAUUUUACAAACUGCACUGUACCUAAAUAAUCUUAUUUUUAUUGCUCUCGCCUUUAUGUGACAGCAUGAAUUACAUGUUAACUUAACAAUUAGUAUUCUUGAUUUCAUUAUUUUGACCUAAUUUAGUGAUGGCAAUAAUUAUAUUAUGGUUUAACGAUAAUGAUAUUUUAGAAUAAUAAUAAUAUUAUUCUUAUUAUUUAUUUUUUAUUUUUAUCGAACAACAAUAUCUUGUGACAUUAUAAUGUUCAUGCAUUUAAAAUCCAUUUAUGAGGAUGUUACGUGACCCGUUCAGAUGUAAACAAAUGCAUUAAUAGAAGUAAUUUUUUUAUUAUUACUAUUAUUAUUAUUUUAAAUAAUUUAACAAUAAAACAAAACAUGCUUGAGUUAUAGCAUGUAUGUCUUAUUUUGUACAAGGGAUUUGCAAUUUCUACUCAUCUAUAAGAUUACUUGACUUAUAAGAUUUAUUUCCAUACUUAAAAAUAUUGAAACAAGUAUUUAAUUAAUUGUUCAACAAGAGAAGCGAUGAUUCGAUUGAGGUGGGUGGUGGGUGAGAUGAAGGACGGUACCGGCGACAAAAUGGCAAAAGUGAAAAGAAAUUGAAAUGAGGAGGGUAAAAAUGGGAAUUCAGGCGGAAACAUUUUUUGACAAUUUUGGGCUUGAUUAAAAAGGGGGCUAAUUACAAUUGGGGGGCCGGUGAGGGUUGGAGCCGUGUGGGUCAGGUGAGAGAAUGGCGUCAUGUGGUUCGUUUUGAUGGGAGUUACCGCAUUUGCGCUCUGCGAGUCUGCAUGGACUACACUUGUACAAAUUUUCAUCAUCAUUUUUUUUUUCUCAAUCUUUUAAUUCCUUUCCGUAAUGGGCCUCCCAAUGAAGAUUUUUGUUAUUUAUGUCAUAAUAAUACAACAAUUAUAAUUUCUCCUUUUCAAAAAUAGUUAUUUGUUGAAGUUAUUGGGAAUUCACAAUAAUGAUACAUACUAAUUGGGGUUAUUUUAUUUGGCAAAUUAUAUGAGCUACCAAUUAGUGGUGGUUUAAAAUCCGGAAGCGCUAUCAAUGCAUGAGAAAUCUUAUAUAAACAAGUAACCGUAAAAUUUGGUCUAAGGUUAGGUUGAAGAGAUUUGAAAUUAGGCUUUUUUUUGGGCAUAUUUAAUCACAUGUGAUUCUUGGUGGUUUCCUGUAAAGCAUUUUUACGAGUUCUAAAAGCAUGUGGAUUGUCUUUGUGGCUACCUAAUUAUAUGAGGUGGUGAGCUAAAUUGACUGCACAAAAAUUUCCGCAGAAUCACCUAACUUGUAUUCUAUUCACUAUGUUUCAGGUAGUGGUUCACUCCAUGCGCAGGAAAACUGGUAAAAGAGGGCUCAUGGCUAUUAAGGUGGAUCUCGAGAAGGCGUAUGAUUGGCUGAACUGGUCUUUUAUUUUUGAAACUCUUCAACAGACGGGGCUCCCGAUUCACUUAUCUCGGCUCAUCAUUGAAUGUGUUACCUCAGCUAGCAUGAACAUUUUGUGGAAUGGUGGGGUAACUGAAGAGUUUUAUCCGGGAAGAGGUAUUCGGCAGGGUGACCCUCUAUCUCCGUAUAUAUUUAUGCUCUGCAUCGAGCGUUUGGGCCAUGAAAUAUCCCAAGCUGUGGUGGAUGGAAGUUGGAAGCCAAUUCGGUUGGUUAAACAUGGCACUCCCCUUACCCACCUUUUUUUUGUUAACGAUUUGCUCUUAUUUGCAGAAGCUUCAAUUGAUCAAGCUCAUAUUAUUGAUGCGGUUUUGGAGAACUACUGUCGAAGUUCUUAAGAAAAGGUUAAUAAAGCGAAAACUACAAUUUUCUUUUCAAAGAAUGUUGCUUCAAGAGAGGCAAAGCUCAUUGGUGCUGCCUUGGGGGUUUCGAUUACUCAUGACUUGGGAAGCUACCUUGGAGUGCCGUUACUUCAUUCGAGGGUGAAUAAAGCUACUUACCAAUCUAUUUUAGACAAGGUGGACAUGAGGCUCAGUGGCUGGAAUGCGGCUCAUUUAUCCUUUGCUGGUCGUGUUACUUUGGCGCAAUCGGUGAUUCAAGCUAUGCCAAUUUAUGCAAUGCAAACGACCAUGCUUCCUUCAUCGGUGCGCCAUAGAAUUGAUAAGUGCUGCCGUAGAUUUAUUUGGGAUGGGAAGUCGAAGAGUCACAAGAUGUGCAUGGUGGGCUGGGAUAAAAUUUGCUUGCCAAAAUCACGUGGUGGCUUGGGUUUUAAAAAUUUAGAGGUGAUGAAUCAUGCCCUGUUGAUGAAGAUUAGUUGGGGCAUUAUUUCCAACUCGGAUACGUUGUGGGUGAGGGUUCUCUGUUCCAAAUAUGGAUUGGACCCACCCAUGCAAUUUGCCGUCUUCCCUCCCUGACAAAUAAGGAUCGCGUAUCUUGUCUGCUAUAAGGAAAAUGUAGGAUGCAACCAUCCAUGGAGCUUGCUGGACAGUGUGUAAUGGUGCUAGAAUUCAGUUCUGGUUGGACUGUUGGGUGACGAAAUAUGAACCUUUGAUUCGCCAGCUCUCCAACCGAUCCCUCAGGUCUCUCUCAAUGCCACUAUCAGUGAAUUUACUAAUGAACAUGAUGGCUGGAGAUGGUCGAACUUUGAACUCCUACUGCCCCUUUUUAUUCUUAUGCAGAUUGCUUCUAUCAUGCCUCCUGCUCCGCAUCUUGGUCCUGAUAGACUUUAUUGGUGUUUCAAUCCAAGAGGGAUGUUCAUUGUUCGAUCCGCUUAUGAGUCUCUAUGUCAUCAUAACUUGGAUGCUCAAGAUAAAGUAUGGAACUUGCCAUGGUCUUGGAAAGGGCCCCAAUCUAUAAAGCUCUUUAUUUGGCAGAUUUUGCAUGGCAAAUUGAAGACCCACAGUGAGCUCAAUAGGCGUAAUAUUCCCGUUUCUGAUGUUUGUGUUAGGUGUGGGGUUUCGGCUGAGGACAUUCUUCAUGCUGUGAGAGAUUGUAGUUGCAUUAAGAAUCUAUGGCUUCGACUUGUUCUAGCCUGUCAUCAACUCUCUUUCUUCCAAUCUAACUUACGUGCAUGAGUUGCUGCCAACAUGCAAAACAAGUGGAGAAUUGAUUUUGAGCUUUCUUGGGAUUGUAUUUUUGGAGUGGCUAUUUGAAAGUUAUGGUUUUGGCAGAAUCACUUUAUUAUGGCUGGGAAUUUGGUAGAUAGCAAGACAAUAUAUUCGGAUAUUAUGGCCAGAGCCAGUGAGAUUCAUAGAAUUAAUAACUCUCAUCUUAGCCAACAACCAAGACGUAAGGAGAUUUUUAUUGGUAGGUUGCCUCCUCCAUGGCCUUGGUGUAAGUUGAACACAGAUGGUUCCUGUAAAAAUAUAGGAGAAGCUGGAGCGGGUGGGGUUAUUCGCGAUUCUUUUGGCAACUGGAUCUCAGGUUUUAGUAUGAAUAUUGGGGAAAGCUCAAUGAUUAUGGCUAAACUUUGGAGCUUGUAUCAAGGAUUAUCCCUUGCCUGGAAUGCUGGCAUCAGACAUCUCUUGGUGGAAGUAGACAACCUCUGUGUAACUCAGAUGAUCUCUCAGCAGGUGGUCGUGCCUAAUGUUUUCUACGCGUUAGUGGUGGCAAUUCGUGAUUUUUUAAACAGGAAUUGACAGAUUUAUAUCUCGCAUAUCUACCGUGAAGCAAACUCAGUUGCAGAUUUCAUGGCAAAUAUGACUCACUUAGUACCACAUGGCUUACAUUUAUUCUCUAACCCAUCUGUGGGUAUUUAUUCUAUUAUUUCGCAAGAUAUGUUUAGGGUUUGUCAACCCCGCCUUGUUCCUGUCUAGCUCGUCUUGAUGAGCCCCUUUUAAUAAAAAAAAUUUGUUUAUUUCCAAUUAGAAUACAAAUUCUCUCUCUCUCUCUCUCUCUCUCUCUCUCUCUCUCUCUCUCUCUCUCUAGUUUUGGUCAAAUUACAACAUCGAUUUACAAAUAUUUCUCACUUUAAUUUGUUAUCCAACUCAACUUGAGUGAAAUUUUCCUAUUGUUAUCUAUAGUAAAACAUUUAAAUAAGAAUAUUUAGUAAUAAAAAAUUGUGGCCCCAACUUGAGACUAGUUAUAAUUAGGAAUAAAUUUUACAUUGUAAUAAGUUAUAUUUUUUUGUAGGUCUCGUCUUAAAUAAACUUACCUCCACAUAAUAAUAAUAUUUCAAAAAUAUAUGCCAUGUUCCAUUGAAUAAUUAAGCUGGAACAAAAUAUAUUUUUAAAGUUUCUUGGGACAAUGAUUUGUUCUUUAAAGCUGUAACCACAUCUUUCAACUUGCGGGUAUGCAUUAAUUGGUCAACAUAGGCAUCUUCUUGUUGAAUCUAAAAUAUUUAUAAUUUCUCAAGUAUGUUUGUAGCUUAUUGGCAUGAAACUUUUGUGUAUUUAUGUACUGUCAUCUUCAGGAUUAUCCCAUUUCUCUUCUUAUCUAAUUGUAUCAAUAAUUUCUUCUUCAAUUAAAGCAUACCCCACUUAUUGUUCACUUGGAUGAUUGAUGAAGACAUUAAUAUCCAAUUGAUUAUUAAUACAUGACAUAAUUUACCUCUAUAUCACUUGCAUUAGGAAUAAUUAAGUAAAGAUAAUAAUUUUUGUACUAUACUUCUAUUGAGUUAUAGUCUCCUUAUAAGAAUAAAUUUCUCUAGUUUCAAUAAUAUGACUAUAAAUAGAUUUUACUAUACUUAUAUUUGGCUACAAAAUUUCACUAAUGUAGUACUUUUUUUUUAUAAGUAGAAGCUUUACUAAUAGAGCUACUUCAGAGAUAACCUUCCAAUUACAUGGAUCAAAAUUGUAAAAAAGUAGAUAUAAAUGAACGUGAUUGACUUGUUAAAUAGUCGACAUAAUAUUUUAUGUUGGGUAAAAAUGUUCGAUUAAUUCCUGUAUUAUUAAAAACAUUAAUUUUUGUUCCAUUUAACUUACUUUUAUAAUAUUGUAGCAUUCCUUUUUUUUUUUUACAUUAAUAAAAAGAAAAAAAUUAAAUUACCAAUUUAACUCUAAAAAUAAAAAUAAAAAGAAAACAUAUAUUAAUUUUUGUGGAACACUCUGUGAGGAGUUAAUAUAUAUAUAUAUUUUUAUUAAUGUUAAUAUAUUAGAAAGUUAAUUUAUAAAAGACAAAAAAUAACGGCAUUGACAUGGGUGUCAAUAGUUUGAUAAUAAAGAUGUUUUGAGAUAUUUUAACAAACAUAAAACUAAACAGGCACUAAUAUCGUAUUAUAGAAAAUAAACGAGUUUUUACUCCAUGUUGUGUGAGAAAGAAUCUCUUGUUGGAAGAGAAAAGUAUUUUACCAUGGCUACUAGGGCAAAAUGGCAACAUUGUGAAAUCAAUAAAGAAGAGAGGGUAGAUUAAUUAAUUAAGAAAAGAAGAAAUGCCGCGCUUGCUGGAAUCUUCCGCAAGAUGUGACGUCUUACCAAGAGUUUAUCCAACAAAAAAUGGUGGAGUGAGGGAAUGUGAAGAAAGGUAAAUGGUGAAAAUUCGUCUUUUGCCAAAUAAAUAAAUAAAUAAAGGCGAAAAAGAGGUGCAUGCAUUAGAAUUUGGCGUACGCAGGGAACAUCGAGAGAGAGUUGCGAAAACGACAAAAAGAAAAUGAAUUGGAAAAUUUCAAAAAGCAAAAACUUGUAUUUUUUAUAUAUAUUUUUCUUUUUCUUUUUUUUCUUUUGGAAGAUAAAAAACACGUUUCUGUUUAAUCGCCCACUUGCAUGUUGCUUCUGGCCGUAUUAAUAUCUAUCAGAGGAAAUAAUGCUUCCACUGACCCCGCAGCUUAAUUUUGGCAAAUUAAAAAAAAAAAAAAUCCAUUAAUAUCUAUCAGAGGAAAUAAUGCUUCCACUGACCCCGCAGCUUAAUUUUGGCAAAUUAAAAAAAAUAAAAAAAAAUCUAUCUGGAUUUUUAGUAUAAAUUAAUCAAUGGUGAUAUUUGUUUAUUAGUUGUGUUGUUUUUUUCUCAAGGUGCUUCAGUAAUCUAUCUAGAUCAAGAUGAGGAUUAUUAAUUUUCUAUACAUCGGUUUAGUGUAGAUUAUUUUCUUAAUCCAAAUUAGAGAUCGUCAAAGAGUAUCGGAUUACUUAAGCGAAAAAGCCUUCAAAUAAAAACAAGUGGGUUAAUUUCAUAUCAUUUUAAGAUUUUUCGUAUCAUUAUAGGAAAUUUGAUGAAGAAUGCGCUAUGCUUUCCCCCCUUAUUUUGUGCCUUACUUUUGUUAUAAAAUUCCAAGUUGAAACACAGCUUAUUAUAACAUUCUAAUGUUCAAUGUUUCUAUCCAUUGCCCAAACUUUUAGUUUUAAAAAAUUGUUAACACUACCAAUGGUCCUUUGGUCCAAUGAGAGAAGUCUUGCAUUUAUAAAGUUGAGUAUAAGGGUCCGAGCUUCUAUAAGAGCAUUAUAGAGGUUAGUUUCAGUACUCACUCAAUUAUCAACUAAUUGAGUGAAGACAGUCUCUCCCUUACGAAAUGUGAGUGAAAUAUGUACUCAUCGAAUAUUAGAGAGAGUUUAAAGUAUUUGGACAAGUGCUUCAGUGGAUUAAUGUAUGGCGGUAAUCCCAGUUGUUUAGUACGAUUGUAUAUAACAGAAUUCAAAAAAAAAAAAUUGUUAACACUAUUAUUAAUAUUGUUGUUGUAGCUAAACACACCACCAAACAAGUUGUUAUUAAUUAAUUAAUUAAUUCUAAUGAAAUAUCAUAUCCCCGUCAUAUUUUCGUCUUCCAAAUCAUAUCAUGCUAUUUGCCAUUCUACUCAUAUAAUUAAGAUUUUGAUUAUUAGUCAAUCGGCAACAUGGGCAUUCUAAAUUCUUUUUUCAUUUUUUAUUUUUCCAAAUAUUUUGGUGAAAAUUUUGAUAUGACCUAUGAGCGAUGAUCAUCCCUAGGGAGUAAAAGAAGGUGGAAAGCUCGUGGUGUACACGCUUCACAUUGAUACAAUUUGUCACAUUAAUUAAAUUUGAAUAUUUUUUUUUGUUGUUGUUAUGUGGAGAUAAUUCCUGGGUUCCAUUAUUUUUUGAACAUCAAGUGGACAAGUUGGUGGAAUAGUUGUUGCUCACACCAACGUCUGUUACGAAAGCAAAAUCGAUUUGUGUUGACUCUUUCAUAAAAACCCAACCAAAAAAACAAAAUAUCGUGUUGACCAAUUGCUGCCUAAUUUUUUGACUGAUCCAAUUGAACGUCUAUGAUCAGUCGAUCAUGAACCAAAGCAGAGGUUACGCGACUGCUCAUUAAAGACAUGCGAUUUCUUUCUCGUGGACCCUCGAUUGUCUGACGUUGAAGAAAGAUCAUAAAGUCAAGAUUUUUUUAAUUUAAUUUAUUAAAAUUUGACCCAUACAGAAUUUUUUUUUAAAAAUGUUUGGAUUUAUCUCUUAUUUAAGACUUGCAAAUAGUUUAUAUAAAUUUUAUACGCAAAUGGAGGUUGAAGUAGAAUUAUGAAAAGUUGGAAAAUGGAGAUAUAAUUGGAUAGAUAUUAAUAAAAUAAAAGCUUAAUGGAAAUAUGGAAUGCUUUUUUGUAUUGUGACCGAAAUUUGCCAACAUUUAAGACUUCAAAUAUUGUAAUAGUUUUCUAUCCAAAAGGUGGAGCGAUGAAGGAUGUUUAAAUUAACUAUUAAUCCUUUUUUAAAAUUUAAAUUUAAUUAAAUCGUUAAAUAAAAUUACUUAAAAACUACUCGAAAUAUUAAAAUAAUUUGUACAAAUGUGACAUGUGACAUGUGAAAGUACGAUCAUAAUGUUACUAUAUCAUUAUUUGGCAUAUAAAAAUUCAGGGGACAAUAUUUCAUUUUUCUCUAGUGGCUAUGGGAUCUUCCUAUAAAAAUAUAUUACGUAUUUAAAAGUAUUUUUCUUUCUUUACUGUGAUUGUAUGAUUUUAAAAUAAGCGUGUGUAUAUUGGACGCCGGCGCACAUAUAGUUUGAUAUGCCAAUCUCGUUCAAGCUUUUAUUUUAUUUUAUUUAUUUUUUGGUGCAACUGCUAACCAAUAAACUCGUAAUUUAUUUUUGCUUUUGAAUAUACUUUCUAAUUUUGUUACGGCUUCAACAACGAAGGUACAAGAUUAUGCUUAUCUAUUAUGCAAAAGUGGAAGAUACUCAUUUUAUAAUAUUUUACAUGUAUGUCUGUUGAUGCUUAAAUCUGCUCGCCCUUUGACCGACCAGAUUCCUCCAAUCUGCACGCCUUUGACUGAUCAGAUUCUUUCAUCAACGCUUGUGUUAUCUAAUGUUGCUUGAACCACUGGGAUUGGAAUCGUCCUCCUUUCCCUCAAUAGACCUGCGCUCACUAAAAAUGGAUCAGAGACGCCGGUGGUUGUGCCGGCGUAAACCCUCCGAUGCCUAAGUUAGCUCAAGGUGUUUACGGAAAAACAGUGCAAAAAAUGGUUUCUAAAUUAUUCGAGAUUUGCAAGAAAAUGGCCUGGUUGCAAUUUGACAGCGUUUUCCCUCUCUCAAUUUUUUCGGUCCCCUUCUUCAUCGAUUUCUCUCCCUUUUAUAGCCGCCCCCUGUCUCACGUUUUCUGUUUAUCCUUCAUCCCCCAUUUUUCGGGUGGUGGCAGCCCCUCAUGGGGCUCUAACUGUUACAUUGUGGGCAAACGUGGGUCUCGCGUGUCCUUCAACGGUUUUGGGAAAAGCGCAACUACCGCGAUUUUGUGGGAUCGCGUUCCCGCUUUCUUGGGGAUGAGUAUCGGCUCGGUAUAUACCUAUGGUCGGUAUGUUUUCCUGGUUGUACUCAUUUCUGGUCGGCUCAUGUUUGCCCCCGUGUUCUGCUCGCAUCACUCGGCUGAAGCGAUCCGUGCUGGGGCGGAAACAAUAGCAUGGCCGACCUGGUGCUUUUAUGUACUCAACACCAGUCCCCCAGUUUCUGGUCUGGCGAGUGAAAUGAGUUAAGAGUAGAAACUGAUGGUCAAAUCUUACCAACCCAGGGAGCUUCUCAUCUGAUCUUCUGUUUAUUGGGACUGGCCUGAGGCAUCAUUCUUCUUCUGGGGGGGUUCCCGACCUGACCAUGGGCCUGAAUGAGUGUAUCCAUUGUCUAUCUGAGCUUUCAUCUAAAUUGGCCUCUUGUAACGGUUAGUGACGUGGCCUUUCCAGACUCUUCGCAUUUGAAAUUUGAAACGACGGGCUAUCUGCCCUCGAUAUUUGGUGAGUGAGCUGGAAUCUCCCUUAUUUAAAUGCUUUCAUUUCCCUUUUCCCUUCGAAUCCCUAGACCCAAAUCCUCGUUGUUUCGUUCUAUUCGUUCUUCUGUCGCGAGUCAAUUCCUACGAACUUCGUUCACACUCUCUGCGUCUGGGACUUCCGUUUGCGGGAUUUUACCUUCAUCACAGCAACAUUAUCAGUGCCAGUGUAUUCCAGGUACAGCCUUUAAUUCUUGCUUUGGUUGUUGUUGAUUGGGUUUUGUGUUGCCCCAUUUUGUAUCAGUUUAUUCGAGUUUUCUUUCGGGACUCCGAUAUGUCAAACCGGAAAAGAAAGUUAAUUGUUGAUGAGGGUGAUGAAGAAUCAGGGGAUUCAGGCCUCAACGUGUCAAUACCCACAGAUUUCUUAGGUCCCUCUAGUAGUGUAGGUCCUUCUCAUGGGAGGGAUACCCUUGAAUACCCACGACCCUUGGUUGUCUCUCCCUCUCCCGAACUAGAGCUUGUAGGGAAUAGAGGUGGACCUGCGUCGGGCUCUGGUGGGAACCACAGUUAUGGUGGGGUUGGGGUCCCUGAAGGAGUUGGUGAUGGUGAGGGGAGUAGUUCCGGACCGAGCAGACCCCCUCAGAGAAGGCACCUUGGUCAUAGGGUGGAGGCGGAUUCUUACCCUAUUGACUUCAUAGCUUGUGCGACCACCCAAACUGAUCUAUUCAAGCUGAGGAACCUUUACAACAUUCCGGUGGAGGUUCUCCUGGUAGUUCCUGGGAAAGGCGACAUUCCUAGUCGGCCUCCGUGGGGGUAUGUGACGAUGCAUCUGGAGAGCUUCAGAUUGGGAGCUCGGCUGCCCCUUCAACGCUAUUUUGCUAAGAUACUGGGUGGUAUGCACCUGGCCCCAGGUCAGCUUCAUCCCAACGGAUGGAGGGUUCUCUCGGCUAUGUAUGUGUUGUGGGAGAGGUGUGGAUCAGAGGAGCCCUCCCUUGUUGAAGUGAAGCACCUAUACCAGCUGAGGAGUAGCCCGAAGGAAGCAGGCUGGUAUUAUUUCAUGUCGAGCUCUGCGAAGAGGAAACCAAUCACCGGCUUCCCUCUUCGUGCAAAAAUUGGAAGAACAAAUUCUUCUUUGCUGAGGGAAAUUGGUGUCCAGCAGUUCAUUCGUUGGGUGGUGAUAUUUACUUUCCAACGAAUUUUGUCACCCCAGGUCGCUCAUUUUUGCCUAUGUUUUUAGUCAAAUUGUCACUUAUCGAGUUCUUUAACCUCUUUUGAUGUUUCAGAGUCGUGGGGUUUGAUCGGGGGGCUUGAAGAUCGACCUUUGCUUCAGGUGGAAACUGCUCUGUUGAACGCUUCUACUUGCCAAGAUCUCCUGUCACCAACAAACCUGGUCGGUUUGGGCCUAUUAGACCUAGCUGCUGGAAUGGAUAACACGGUCCUUAGCGCGAUGAGCAGGAAGUGUGGUCGGGCUCCAGGCAGCUCCAACAACCCCCCUCCUCCUCCAAAGAAGUCCAGCGUCGGCCCUUCCAAAGCUCCUGUCCCUGCUCUGCCCCCUCCUCCACCUCGCAAGAGUGGUGGCGAGAAAACUUCUGAUAAGAGUCCUGAGGUCAGCUACCAGGCUGGGGACCGACCUUCUCCUCUACCUUCUCGGGAUCAAGCGGACUACCUGAGCCCAUAUCAGAAGGAUUACAAGAGAUCGGUGAGGCCCAAGAUGGUGAAGGACAUCGAGAGUAUGAAUCUCUCCGAGCUAGCUACUUCUGUUCAGAGAGUGUCCUUCAGGCUGGCCACCAUGGUUUCGUGCUACAAGCUUGGGUCCGCGCGCCAUGAGAAGAAGCUCCAAGCUGACAUUCAGGAAUUGAAGAAGAAAGCCGACUCUGCUGAUCGCUCCAAGGAGAAGCUGGCUGAGCUGAGCAAGCGGAUUAUGGAGCUAGAGGAGAAAGUUGCGGUUGCUGAAUCAACUUCCUCCAAACUCGAGGGCGAGUUGGGUGACCUGAGAUCUGAUCUUCAGGCUACUCAAGCUGAAAGGGAUACUUUGAGGGCCGCCCUUGAGGGGGAAAUCAAAUCCUUGGGCGAGCAGCUGGCUGAGGAGAAAGGCAAAUCCGCUGAUGUGGAUGAUCGGCUGGAUGCCGAGUAUGAUUCUGGGGUUGCCUUCUCCUACAAGUGCAUCAUGUAUGUGCUUAAGACAGAAUAUCCCGAGAUGGACAUGAGCAAGCUGGAGGCCGGAGUGCAGCGGUAUAUGGCAGAGGUCGACCAAGCAGAUAAGGGGCAGGGUGAGCAGGAGCAGGUGGAGGCUCCUUUGGAUGGGGUGCAGGAGGGAGAAGCUGGGCGGCGUGUUUUUGAAGUGGAACAGGGGUCCGUGCCUCCUCCUCCCGAUAUUGCUGACCUUCCACCUCCCGAGAUAGCUGACCCUUCAUCUGCUGAGGCCGUUGAUCCUCCUAAUCCUUAGGUCUAUUUUUGUAAAGACUCUAGUUUUUCAUUUACUUUGUAAACAUUUGAACGUUUAUAAAAUUUUUUGAAUGCUCUCUAUUGGUUUUCUUGUCUGGUUUUGCUUGUUGGUUCUUUAGUGCAUCGAACAUGAAUAGGCAUCUGUUUGCCUUAGUAAAAUUUUCGAAGCUUUAGCUGCUGGUCUUUCGUUGACCGAGCAGAAACAGACACUUUGUUGCCUUAGUAGAAUUUUCGAAGCUUUAGCUGCUGGUCUUUCGUUGACCGAGCAGAAAUAGGCACUUUGUUGCCUUAGUAGAAUAUUCGAAGCUUUAGCUGUUGGUCUCUCGUUGACCGAGCAGAAACAGGCACUUUGUUGCCUUAGUAGAAUUUUCGAAGCUUUAGCUGCUGGUCUUUUGUUGACCGAGUAGAAACAAGAGCUUUUUGCCUUAGCAGAUUUUUCGAAGCUUUAGCUGCUGGUCUUUUGUUGACCAAGCAGAAACAAGCACUUUGUUGCCUUAGUAGAAUUUUCGAAGCUUUAGCUGCUGGUCUUUCGUUGACCGAGCAGAAACAGGCACUUUGUUGCCUUAGUAGAAUUUUCGAAGCUUUAGCUGCUGGUCUUUCGUUGACCGAGCAGAAACAAGUGCUUUUUGCCUUAGCAGAUUUUUCGAAGCUUUAGCUGCUGGUCUUUUGUUGACCGAGCCGAAACAGGCACUUUGCUGCCUUAGUAAGCAUUUAAUGGGCUUGCUAGCAGAAGGGUUCCAUACUGAAUUCACCUUUAUUGAAUUUCGAAUGCAUUACAGAAGUGUGGGAUAUCUGUGUGUGUCACAAAUCACCGUGCUCAUAACAGAAAUAACUUAUCACAAUGACAAUUAGUAUAGCACUUUGCUUACUGGAAGUACUUUUUCAAGUGCUCGGCGUUCCACGACCUCUUCACCUCUCAUCCGUCUGGAUACGCCAGCUUGUAGGCUCCUGGUCCAGUUGCUCGUAUCACCCUGUACGGGCCUUCUCAUUUUGGACCAAGAGCUCCGCGGUUGGGAUCCCUGGUGUUUUGGUUCACCUUCCUGAGCACCCAAUCUUCUGUUCGGAACUGCCUCACGCGUACGUUCUUGUUGUAAUAACGCGUGACCCUUUGCUGACACUGGGCCACUUUCUGCGAAGCCCCUUCCCUUUUCUCCUCCAGCAGGUCCAGGCUCAAGCAUAUCUGCUCGCCAUUUUGCUCCUCAACCAUUCCUGACCCGAUCUUCACUACCCUGCUCGGGUUGCUUUUGCUUACCGCAACUUCCUCCAGUUUCUCCACAGGCUCUUGGCGGCCCUUUUUGGACUCUCCUCGAUUAUCUAGAGAAGUAACCUGUAGUGUCUCCUUCGCCGCUGUAGCAUAACAGCUCCUUGCCAUCCUCUGGUCGCAUUUUACUACGCCAACCACCCCAUUUACUCUGUAUUUCAGUGCCAAGUAAUGCGUGGAUACAACGCAUUGACUUAUCCUCAUGAAUGGUCUCCCCAGUAUCAUCUGGUAAAGGCUUCUUUCCUCUACCACGACUAAAUCCAGCAUCAUUGUUCUUUCAAAUGGCUUCGUCCCCAUAGUAAUUGGGAGUUCGAUGAUCCCCAGGGGAGUUAACCGCCCCCCUCCAAAUCCCUUUAAGGAUGUAUUUGUCCGCUCCAAUUUCAAGUCUGCAAUCCCCAUAUCAUCUAGAGCCGACUUAAACAGGAUGUCAACUGAGCUGCCUGUGUCUACUAGUAUUCGUCGCAAUUCUGUACCGGCCACCAUUACCUUGAUCACCAAUGCAUCCUCAUGCGGAUAUAAGAUACCCUCUUCAUCGUCAUCUGUCCACAUAAUGGGAACUUGCCGCACUUUUACCUUCUUGGUUGCCGGCAAAUUGAAAAGCACUUCUUUGCUAGUCAGGGCAUAUCUCCCAUAGUUCUUCCGUGCCCUGUUCGAAUCCCCGGCCAAUGUUGGCCCUCCUGCUAUUACACGGAUGGUCGGCUGUUCACGUUCCAAAUCCCUCUCAACCCCUUCAUCCCGUGUAUAUUGUGAUUCCAUGACAGGGGACAUUCCAUCUACAUACUCGUCCAAGUAUCGGUUCCUCACCAAAUCCUCCACCUGAAUCUUCAGGUCCCGACAUUGGCUGAUAGUGUGACCGUGAGUGUCGUGGAACUUGCAGAAUCUGCUCUUAUCCCGUCGGUGAGUCGGUUUUGUUAUUGGGGCUGGAGGGUACAGCAAGCCUCGUCCCUCGAUCCUCUCAUACAAUUCCUCCAUGGAAAUCUUUAACGGAGUGUACUGUCUAUACGCCAAGCUCUGGUCUAUCAGCUGAACUGCUCGGUUAUCAUGAAUGUCACCUCGGGCUGGCACAGUCGCUAACUGAUCUGGUCGACUAGCCCUAGAAUUGGUUGCAUGUGAUGCUCUGGGAGUGUUGUGAUAGGGGUGGGCAGCCAUCUGCCGGAAUUGUCGUUGCCGAUCCGGAAAUGGGGGACGCGGAGGUUGAGCCCGGUUGUGCUGGAACUGCUGUGAUCUCGGAGCUAUGGGGUAAGGGCGGGACCGAGCCGAUAUUCCGCCCAUCACUGAAGAUUCUCCAGCUCGUUUUCCCGACCCGCUCCCUGUCGGGGCUCUCCGUUCCUUUCGCCUCAGCUCGUCCAGCUGUUCACUUUUUAUUCUUGCCGAUUUCUCCUCUUCGAUUUCUAUAUCUCGCCUCGCCUGCUCAUACCCCGACGAGUAAUUCUGUACAAGGGGGCUUCUUAAGUUAUACCACAGCCGGCCGAUUCUUACACCUUCUUUUAAUCCCCUCAACGCCUGCGGGUGAUUAAAAGCUCCCAGAUCCAGCACGGCUCGGUGAUAUCUUUUUACAAAAUCUCGAAGGGAUUCAUGCUCCUCCUGUUUCAUCCCCAUCAGUUCCAUCAUGUCGUCCUCUGGGGCCACUGCCCCUCAGAACUGUUCGGCCAACUCCUGGCACAUCUGCUCAUACCCUUUUAUACUUCCUCGGGGCAGCUUGCGGUAUCAUUCUCGGGCUCGUCCCUCUAAUGUCAACGGGAACACCCUGCACCUCUGAGCUGGUGUCAGCCCCUGCACACCCGUCAUGUCGUUGAAACGCUCAAUGUGCACCAGCGGGUCAUUUCGCCCGGAGUAUUUGAGGUCGGGGAAGCGGAAAUCUCUUGGGAUUAUGGUACUCGUGAUCUCAGUUGAUAACGGAGAUUCUUCAUCUAGCAUUAUCCUCCAGCUCGGGGGCUUUCUCUUGCCCUGUAUCUCCUCUAUCACCUGCGCCAAUCUGCGCACCUCCCCUUCCAAUUUUACGGCACGGUCAGGAUCACGUGCAGCUAUAUGGUCUCGUUCCAGCUCGGCAUUGUGUAACCGCUAUCUGAGCUCUCCUUCGUCAACACUGGCACCUCGGCCAUUGACUUCCAGGACCCGUCCGGGGCGAGGUUGGUCCCUCCCUUCAUCCACGUGUUCUCCUGGGAUCCGACCAGUACUUCUGUGGGGAUGCACCCCAUUAGGUUGGUCUGCGGGCGGAGGGAUUUCCUCGACUCUACGCCUCCGGAGGCUGGGUUCUGCUCCAACUUCAUCUCUUCCCACAGGGGUUUCACAAUCCCUUCUCCGCUCAUCCCUCAGCUCGAACAAUAUGGUUGCGAGAGUCUCCAUUUGUUUCUCCAUCCGCUCCAGUCUAUCUUGCAUCAUCUUCUCUCGGGCUUCAUUUGCAAUUUCCCGGAGAGUGACUGUCUCCCCAGCUUCGUUAUCCUCCCUCAAAGCGUCCUUCCUUGUCACAUCCAUGCCUAACCGUUCGCUGUUUUUCCGGUAACUACUAAUUCGGUGGUAGCUUUUUAUCCAGCUCCCCACAGACGACGCCAAAAUGUUGAUGCUUAAAUCUGCUCGCCAUUUGACCGACCAGAUUCCCCCAAUCUGCACGCCUUUGACUGAUCAGAUUCUUUCACCAACGCUUGUGUUAUCUAAUGUUGCUCGAACCACUGGGAUUGGAAUCGUCCUCCUUUCCCUCAAUAGACCUGCGCUCACUAAAAAUUGAUCAGAGACGCCGGUGGUUGUGCCGGCGUAAACCCUCCGAUGCCUAAGUUAGCUCAAGGUGUUUAUGGGAAAACAGUGCAAAAAAUGGUUUCUAAAUUAUUCGAGAUUUGCAAGAAAAUGGCCUGGUUGCAAUUUGGCAGCGUUUUCCCUCUCUCAAUUUUUUUCGGUCCCCUUCUUCAUCGAUUUCUCUCCCUUUUAUAGCCGCCCCCUGUCUCACGUUUUCCGUUUAUCCUUCAUCCCCCCUUUUUCGGGUGGUGGCAGCCCCUCAUGGGGCUCUAACUGUUACAUUGUGGGCAAACGUGGGUCUCGCGUGUCCUUCAACGGUUUUGGGAAAAGCGCAACUACCGCGAUUUUGUGGGAUCGCGUUCCCGCUUUCUUGGGGAUGAGUAUCGGCUCGGUAUAUACCUAUGGUCGGUAUGUUUUCCUGGUUGUACUCAUUUCUGGUCGGCUCAUGUUUGCCCCCGUGUUCUGCUCGCAUCACUCGGCUGAAGCGAUCCGUGCUGGGGCGGAAACAAUAGCAUGGCCGACCUGGUGCUUUUAUGUACUCAACACCAGUCCCCCAGUUUCUGGUCUGGCGAGUGAAAUGAGUUAAGAGUAGAAACUGAUGGUCAAAUCUUACCAACCCAGGGAGCUUCUCAUCUGAUCUUCUGUUUAUUGGGACUGGCCUGAGGCAUCAUUCUUCUUCUGGGGGGUUCCCGACCUGACCAUGGGCCUGAAUGAGUGUAUCCAUUGUCUAUCUGAGCUUUCAUCUAAAUUGGCCUCUUGUAACGGUUAGUGACGUGGCCUUUCCAGACUCUUCGCAUUUGAAAUUUGAAACGACGGGCUAUCUGCCCUCGAUAUUUGGUGAGUGAGCUGGAAUCUCCCUUAUUUAAAUGCUUUCAUUUCCAUUUUCCCUUCGAAUCCCUAGACCCAAAUCCUCGUUGUUUCGUUCUAUUCGUUCUUCUGUCGCGAGUCAAUUCCUACGAACUUCGUUCACACUCUCUGCGUCUGGGACUUCCGUUUGCGGGAUUUUACCUUCAUCACAGCAACAUUAUCAGUGCCAGUGUAUUCCAGGUACAGCCUUUAAUUCUUGCUUUGGUUGUUGUUGAUUGGGUUUUGUGUUGCCCCAUUUUGUAUCAGUUUAUUCGAGUUUUCUUUCGGGACUCCGAUAUGUCAAACCGGAAAAGAAAGUUAAUUGUUGAUGAGGGUGAUGAAGAAUCAGGGGAUUCAGGCCUCAACGUGUCAAUACCCACAGAUUUCUUAGGUCCCUCUAGUAGUGUAGGUCCUUCUCAUGGGAGGGAUACCCUUGAAUACCCACGACCCUUGGUUGUCUCUCCCUCUCCCGAACUAGAGCUUGUAGGGAAUAGAGGUGGACCUGCGUCGGGCUCUGGUGGGAACCACAGUUAUGGUGGGGUUGGGGUCCCUGAAGGAGUUGGUGAUGGUGAGGGGAGUAGUUCCGGACCGAGCAGACCCCCUCAGAGAAGGCACCUUGGUCAUAGGGUGGAGGCGGAUUCUUACCCUAUUGACUUCAUAGCUUGUGCGACCACCCAAACUGAUCUAUUCAAGCUGAGGAACCUUUACAACAUUCCGGUGGAGGUUCUCCUGGUAGUUCCUGGGAAAGGCGACAUUCCUAGUCGGCCUCCGUGGGGGUAUGUGACGAUGCAUCUGGAGAGCUUCAGAUUGGGAGCUCGGCUGCCCCUUCAACGCUAUUUUGCUAAGAUACUGGGUGGUAUGCACCUGGCCCCAGGUCAGCUUCAUCCCAACGGAUGGAGGGUUCUCUCGGCUAUGUAUGUGUUGUGGGAGAGGUGUGGAUCAGAGGAGCCCUCCCUUGUUGAAGUGAAGCACCUAUACCAGCUGAGGAGUAGCCCGAAGGAAGCAGGCUGGUAUUAUUUCAUGUCGAGCUCUGCGAAGAGGAAACCAAUCACCGGCUUCCCUCUUCGUGCAAAAAUUGGAAGAACAAAUUCUUCUUUGCUGAGGGAAAUUGGUGUCCAGCAGUUCAUUCGUUGGGUGGUGAUAUUUACUUUCCAACGAAUUUUGUCACCCCAGGUCGCUCAUUUUUGCCUAUGUUUUUAGUCAAAUUGUCACUUAUCGAGUUCUUUAACCUCUUUUGAUGUUUCAGAGUCGUGGGGUUUGAUCGGGGGGCUUGAAGAUCGACCUUUGCUUCAGGUGGAAACUGCUCUGUUGAACGCUUCUACUUGCCAAGAUCUCCUGUCACCAACAAACCUGGUCGGUUUGGGCCUAUUAGACCUAGCUGCUGGAAUGGAUAACACGGUCCUUAGCGCGAUGAGCAGGAAGUGUGGUCGGGCUCCAGGCAGCUCCAACAACCCCCCUCCUCCUCCAAAGAAGUCCAGCGUCGGCCCUUCCAAAGCUCCUGUCCCUGCUCUGCCCCCUCCUCCACCUCGCAAGAGUGGUGGCGAGAAAACUUCUGAUAAGAGUCCUGAGGUCAGCUACCAGGCUGGGGACCGACCUUCUCCUCUACCUUCUCGGGAUCAAGCGGACUACCUGAGCCCAUAUCAGAAGGAUUACAAGAGAUCGGUGAGGCCCAAGAUGGUGAAGGACAUCGAGAGUAUGAAUCUCUCCGAGCUAGCUACUUCUGUUCAGAGAGUGUCCUUCAGGCUGGCCACCAUGGUUUCGUGCUACAAGCUUGGGUCCGCGCGCCAUGAGAAGAAGCUCCAAGCUGACAUUCAGGAAUUGAAGAAGAAAGCCGACUCUGCUGAUCGCUCCAAGGAGAAGCUGGCUGAGCUGAGCAAGCGGAUUAUGGAGCUAGAGGAGAAAGUUGCGGUUGCUGAAUCAACUUCCUCCAAACUCGAGGGCGAGUUGGGUGACCUGAGAUCUGAUCUUCAGGCUACUCAAGCUGAAAGGGAUACUUUGAGGGCCGCCCUUGAGGGGGAAAUCAAAUCCUUGGGCGAGCAGCUGGCUGAGGAGAAAGGCAAAUCCGCUGAUGUGGAUGAUCGGCUGGAUGCCGAGUAUGAUUCUGGGGUUGCCUUCUCCUACAAGUGCAUCAUGUAUGUGCUUAAGACAGAAUAUCCCGAGAUGGACAUGAGCAAGCUGGAGGCCGGAGUGCAGCGGUAUAUGGCAGAGGUCGACCAAGCAGAUAAGGGGCAGGGUGAGCAGGAGCAGGUGGAGGCUCCUUUGGAUGGGGUGCAGGAGGGAGAAGCUGGGCGGCGUGUUUUUGAAGUGGGACAGGGGUCCGUGCCUCCUCCUCCCGAUAUUGCUGACCUUCCACCUCCCGAGAUAGCUGACCCUUCAUCUGCUGAGGCCGUUGAUCCUCCUAAUCCUUAGGUCUAUUUUUGUAAAGACUCUAGUUUUUCAUUUACUUUGUAAACAUUUGAACGUUUAUAAAAUUUUUUGAAUGCUCUCUAUUGGUUUUCUUGUCUGGUUUUGCUUGUUGGUUCUUUAGUGCAUCGAACAUGAAUAGGCAUCCGUUUGCCUUAGUAAAAUUUUCGAAGCUUUAGCUGCUGGUCUUUCGUUGACCGAGCAGAAACAGACACUUUGUUGCCUUAGUAGAAUUUUCGAAGCUUUAGCUGCUGGUCUUUCGUUGACCGAGCAGAAAUAGGCACUUUGUUGCCUUAGUAGAAUAUUCGAAGCUUUAGCUGUUGGUCUCUCGUUGACCGAGCAGAAACAGGCACUUUGUUGCCUUAGUAGAAUUUUCGAAGCUUUAGCUGCUGGUCUUUUGUUGACCGAGUAGAAACAAGAGCUUUUUGCCUUAGCAGAUUUUUCGAAGCUUUAGCUGCUGGUCUUUUGUUGACCAAGCAGAAACAAGCACUUUGUUGCCUUAGUAGAAUUUUCGAAGCUUUAGCUGCUGGUCUUUCGUUGACCGAGCAGAAACAGGCACUUUGUUGCCUUAGUAGAAUUUUCGAAGCUUUAGCUGCUGGUCUUUCGUUGACCGAGCAGAAACAAGUGCUUUUUGCCUUAGCAGAUUUUUCGAAGCUUUAGCUGCUGGUCUUUUGUUGACCGAGCCGAAACAGGCACUUUGCUGCCUUAGUAAGCAUUUAAUGGGCUUGCUAGCAGAAGGGUUCCAUACUGAAUUCACCUUUAUUGAAUUUCGAAUGCAUUACAGAAGUGUGGGAUAUCUGUGUGUGUCACAAAUCACCGUGCUCAUAACAGAAAUAACUUAUCACAAUGACAAUUAGUAUAGCACUUUGCUUACUGGAAGUACUUUUUCAAGUGCUCGGCGUUCCACGACCUCUUCACCUCUCAUCCGUCUGGAUACGCCAGCUUGUAGGCUCCUGGUCCAGUUGCUCGUAUCACCCUGUACGGGCCUUCUCAUUUUGGACCAAGAGCUCCGCGGUUGGGAUCCCUGGUGUUUUGGUUCACCUUCCUGAGCACCCAAUCUUCUGUUCGGAACUGCCUCACGCGUACGUUCUUGUUGUAAUAACGCGUGACCCUUUGCUGACACUGGGCCACUUUCUGCGAAGCCCCUUCCCUUUUCUCCUCCAGCAGGUCCAGGCUCAAGCAUAUCUGCUCGCCAUUUUGCUCCUCAACCAUUCCUGACCCGAUCUUCACUACCCUGCUCGGGUUGCUUUUGCUUACCGCAACUUCCUCCAGUUUCUCCACAGGCUCUUGGCGGCCCUUUUUGGACUCUCCUCGAUUAUCUAGAGAAGUAACCUGUAGUGUCUCCUUCGCCGCUGUAGCAUAACAGCUCCUUGCCAUCCUCUGGUCGCAUUUUACUACGCCAACCACCCCAUUUACUCUGUAUUUCAGUGCCAAGUAAUGCGUGGAUACAACGCAUUGACUUAUCCUCAUGAAUGGUCUCCCCAGUAUCAUCUGGUAAAGGCUUCUUUCCUCUACCACGACUAAAUCCAGCAUCAUUGUUCUUUCAAAUGGCUUCGUCCCCAUAGUAAUUGGGAGUUCGAUGAUCCCCAGGGGAGUUAACCGCCCCCCUCCAAAUCCCUUUAAGGAUGUAUUUGUCCGCUCCAAUUUCAAGUCUGCAAUCCCCAUAUCAUCUAGAGCCGACUUAAACAGGAUGUCAACUGAGCUGCCUGUGUCUACUAGUAUUCGUCGCAAUUCUGUACCGGCCACCAUUACCUUGAUCACCAAUGCAUCCUCAUGCGGAUAUAAGAUACCCUCUUCAUCGUCAUCUGUCCACAUAAUGGGAACUUGCCGCACUUUUACCUUCUUGGUUGCCGGCAAAUUGAAAAGCACUUCUUUGCUAGUCAGGGCAUAUCUCCCAUAGUUCUUCCGUGCCCUGUUCGAAUCCCCGGCCAAUGUUGGCCCUCCUGCUAUUACACGGAUGGUCGGCUGUUCACGUUCCAAAUCCCUCUCAACCCCUUCAUCCCGUGUAUAUUGUGAUUCCAUGACAGGGGACAUUCCAUCUACAUACUCGUCCAAGUAUCGGUUCCUCACCAAAUCCUCCACCUGAAUCUUCAGGUCCCGACAUUGGCUGAUAGUGUGACCGUGAGUGUCGUGGAACUUGCAGAAUCUGCUCUUAUCCCGUCGGUGAGUCGGUUUUGUUAUUGGGGCUGGAGGGUACAGCAAGCCUCGUCCCUCGAUCCUCUCAUACAAUUCCUCCAUGGAAAUCUUUAACGGAGUGUACUGUCUAUACGCCAAGCUCUGGUCUAUCAGCUGAACUGCUCGGUUAUCAUGAAUGUCACCUCGGGCUGGCACAGUCGCUAACUGAUCUGGUCGACUAGCCCUAGAAUUGGUUGCAUGUGAUGCUCUGGGAGUGUUGUGAUAGGGGUGGGCAGCCAUCUGCCGGAAUUGUCGUUGCCGAUCCGGAAAUGGGGGACGCGGAGGUUGAGCCCGGUUGUGCUGGAACUGCUGUGAUCUCGGAGCUAUGGGGUAAGGGCGGGACCGAGCCGAUAUUCCGCCCAUCACUGAAGAUUCUCCAGCUCGUUUUCCCGACCCGCUCCCUGUCGGGGCUCUCCGUUCCUUUCGCCUCAGCUCGUCCAGCUGUUCACUUUUUAUUCUUGCCGAUUUCUCCUCUUCGAUUUCUAUAUCUCGCCUCGCCUGCUCAUACCCCGACGAGUAAUUCUGUACAAGGGGGCUUCUUAAGUUAUACCACAGCCGGCCGAUUCUUACACCUUCUUUUAAUCCCCUCAACGCCUGCGGGUGAUUAAAAGCUCCCAGAUCCAGCACGGCUCGGUGAUAUCUUUUUACAAAAUCUCGAAGGGAUUCAUGCUCCUCCUGUUUCAUCCCCAUCAGUUCCAUCAUGUCGUCCUCUGGGGCCACUGCCCCUCAGAACUGUUCGGCCAACUCCUGGCACAUCUGCUCAUACCCUUUUAUACUUCCUCGGGGCAGCUUGCGGUAUCAUUCUCGGGCUCGUCCCUCUAAUGUCAACGGGAACACCCUGCACCUCUGAGCUGGUGUCAGCCCCUGCACACCCGUCAUGUCGUUGAAACGCUCAAUGUGCACCAGCGGGUCAUUUCGCCCGGAGUAUUUGAGGUCGGGGAAGCGGAAAUCUCUUGGGAUUAUGGUACUCGUGAUCUCAGUUGAUAACGGAGAUUCUUCAUCUAGCAUUAUCCUCCAGCUCGGGGGCUUUCUCUUGCCCUGUAUCUCCUCUAUCACCUGCGCCAAUCUGCGCACCUCCCCUUCCAAUUUUACGGCACGGUCAGGAUCACGUGCAGCUAUAUGGUCUCGUUCCAGCUCGGCAUUGUGUAACCGCUAUCUGAGCUCUCCUUCGUCAACACUGGCACCUCGGCCAUUGACUUCCAGGACCCGUCCGGGGCGAGGUUGGUCCCUCCCUUCAUCCACGUGUUCUCCUGGGAUCCGACCAGUACUUCUGUGGGGAUGCACCCCAUUAGGUUGGUCUGCGGGCGGAGGGAUUUCCUCGACUCUACGCCUCCGGAGGCUGGGUUCUGCUCCAACUUCAUCUCUUCCCACAGGGGUUUCACAAUCCCUUCUCCGCUCAUCCCUCAGCUCGAACAAUAUGGUUGCGAGAGUCUCCAUUUGUUUCUCCAUCCGCUCCAGUCUAUCUUGCAUCAUCUUCUCUCGGGCUUCAUUUGCAAUUUCCCGGAGAGUGACUGUCUCCCCAGCUUCGUUAUCCUCCCUCAAAGCGUCCUUCCUUGUCACAUCCAUGCCUAACCGUUCGCUGUUUUUCCGGUAACUACUAAUUCGGUGGUAGCUUUUUAUCCAGCUCCCCACAGACGACGCCAAAAUGUUGAUGCUUAAAUCUGCUCGCCAUUUGACCGACCAGAUUCCCCCAAUCUGCACGCCUUUGACUGAUCAGAUUCUUUCACCAACGCUUGUGUUAUCUAAUGUUGCUCGAACCACUGGGAUUGGAAUCGUCCUCCUUUCCCUCAAUAGACCUGCGCUCACUAAAAAUUGAUCAGAGACGCCGGUGGUUGUGCCGGCGUAAACCCUCCGAUGCCUAAGUUAGCUCAAGGUGUUUAUGGGAAAACAGUGCAAAAAAUGGUUUCUAAAUUAUUCGAGAUUUGCAAGAAAAUGGCCUGGUUGCAAUUUGGCAGCGUUUUCCCUCUCUCAAUUUUUUCGGUCCCCUUCUUCAUCGAUUUCUCUCCCUUUUAUAGCCGCCCCCUGUCUCACGUUUUCCGUUUAUCCUUCAUCCCCCCUUUUUCGGGUGGUGGCAGCCCCUCAUGGGGCUCUAACUGUUACAUUGUGGGCAAACGUGGGUCUCGCGUGUCCUUCAACGGUUUUGGGAAAAGCGCAACUACCGCGAUUUUGUGGGAUCGCGUUCCCGCUUUCUUGGGGAUGAGUAUCGGCUCGGUAUAUACCUAUGGUCGGUAUGUUUUCCUGGUUGUACUCAUUUCUGGUCGGCUCAUGUUUGCCCCCGUGUUCUGCUCGCAUCACUCGGCUGAAGCGAUCCGUGCUGGGGCGGAAACAAUAGCAUGGCCGACAUGGUGCUUUUAUGUACUCAACAAUGUCAAAAAAAUUUUAUUACAAAGUAAUCACUUGAUUAGCCCACCAAAUGAUUAUUAGCUAUUAAGAGCAAGUUGUAAACCUAACGGACAUACUAUAUUUUAUAUGGUUACAAAUCGAAGGCUACCGUGGUUUUGAACGUUUUCUUGUUUUUGAUGGCGGUAUUAUUAGUUGGAGCUUACUAAUCUCUAUGAAUUUAUAUAUAAAAUCAUUCAUUCUCUAGUGUGAGUAUUUUUAUUUUUAUUUUAAUACGAGCGCGUUGUUAGUCACGCAGUUUAAUAAUAUUAAAAACUGAUUCGAUUAGAAGUGUAUCCUAGAAAAAUGAGGACGUGCGCAAGACUAUAUAUAUAUAUAUAUAUAUAUAUAUAUAUAUAUAUAUAUAUAUAUAUAUAUAUAUAUGGGAAAAUUAUCGUGCAUAUGCCAACAAAUAAUUUAUGGCAGAAUUCAUUGUGAAGGAUUAUGUCAUUAUCAUGCAUACGCUGAAAGAGAAGAAGGAAAAUGAAUGAAGGCAUCAAGUAUAUAUCACAGUGUACUAUCUAUGAAAGUAACGACCAAGCCAAUAUCCAGGACCACCUUCACUCUUAUCACAAGAUGAGAUGUACUUGUUGAAUAUGGAAAUAUUGAUAGAGAUUAACAAAAAUUAAAGUUGAAUAUAAGUAUGGAAUGCUUUGUUGUGUCAUUUAUUUGAAGGAUUCAUAUGUGACCCAAAUUUGCCAACAUUUAGAAGGACUCAAAUGUCGAAAUAGUUUGAACAAAAGUUAAAGGCGGCGAGUAAAAGUAAGACCAUAAUCUUGCUUGCUAUAUAAUUUAUUUGCCAAAUAAAAAUUCGGGAGAGACAAUAUUGAUGCGUGCACAGAUAACGAGGUACGCCGGCUCAUCUCACAUAAAUAAGCUUUUCUACUUUGUGGUGCUAUGCUAACCAGGAAACUUCUGUUUUUUAAAUUUCCUUUUGAUAAAAAUUUCCAAAUUUGCUUGGGGCUCCUCCAACAAAGAAGUUGCAAGAUUAUGCUUAGCCGGUGUGCCCAAGUGAAAGAUACCCAUGACAUAAUCCACACAAAUUAAUUUAGUCUAAAUUUAUUCGUUAGAUAAAAAUAUAAACAAUAAAAAUUAUCAUGUGGGCAAAGAGUUAAUUAAUUUAAUUAACUAAAGUGUCAUAUUUUGUACAAAAGUAUAUAACUGUGUUUUAGCUCAUAUUUUACAUGUGUCAAAACGUAAUAAGAUAAAUUUCAGAUUUUCCUUCAUAAAAUACUAAUUUUCCAGAUACCCUUAAAACCAUCAUAAACUUUAACUAAAUCCUAUUUUUAUUCAAAAGAAAAGAUAAGGAAAAAUGAGCGUAGGUUGAUGAAUUUUUUUUUUAAUGUAAUCUUUUUUUAAUAACAAAAAUAGGAAUAAUUUGAGGUUUACAAUAGUUGAGAAAUAUUUUGAAAAUUUUUAUUUAUUUAGGAGGGUAAUUCGAAAUUAGUCUUUAUUUAAAAAGUAACCAUUUGUUAAAUUUUAGUACAAGUUGUGAACCUAAUGGAUAUACUAUAACUAGCAACAAAUCGUAGGCUAUCGUGGUUUUGAAAGUUUUCUUGAUAGCAUCAGUUUAUUAACUUCCAAUGAAACAAGAUUUAUAGACUAAUUUCAUGGAGAAUAGUGAAGCUCCAAUGAUACUGCCAUCAAAAACAAGAAAACAUUCAAAACCGCGGUGGCAUAUAUACCAAGAAAUUAUUUGUGAAGCGGCGAUAUCUAGCUAUUCAUUUGGAAGGAUUAUAUAUAUGUCAUUGUCAUGCAACAAGCAGAUAAGGAAGCCAUCGGCUAUAUAUAUAUAUAUAUAUUAUAUCACACUGUACUAUGUAAUAAAAGUAACAACCCAAUUACCAGGACCACCUAGCUAUAGGCUAUAUACUCUUUAUAUCACAAUUCACAAGAUCAUAAGAUGUUGAUGUAAACCUUUUAGAAUCUGCAGAAUAUAUAUGCACAAAACUAUAUCAUGCGUGUAGCUAAUGCCUUGGGUCAUAAUUUUUUUGGUCCUUCGAGAGGUUCACGAUAGUUGCAGCCAUAUAAUGAGGUUAAAUGCCAACAGAAUAUAUGUAGUGACGAAAAUGAAACGACUGCGUACCAUUUUUGUGAAGCUGUGUUGUGAUGUGGCUUGCUUUUUCGUGGGUUUGCAAUUUGUGCCUUCUUCCUUGCAGCUAUGAUCACAAUUUACAUUCAGCCUGCCCUGCCAUUUGGCCCACGAAAAGACUGUUGGUCUCCAAUGGGGAUCUUUUCAGUAGGCCCAUUAUAUUUUAUUUUUUGGAUAGUAAAAGGCCCAUUAAAUUUAAAAUUGUAUUUUCUUUCUUUUUCUUUUUUUGGGACAAAUACGGCCAUCCACAGAUCCAAUAAAAUCUUUACUAUGAACAUGUGAGAGAGAGAAUAUAACAAAUGUGACAUGAUUCUAUUGAGCUGAAUGAGCAAAUUAGAAUUGUCUUAUCUAAGGCUCUCUCCCCUCUGGCCCUCUUUCAUGUAUUACAACAAACUAUCGUGAUUAGGUCAUGAAAAUUUAGAAAAUAGUUAUGUACAAAUGGAAUUUAAAUUCAUUAAUUCAGUGCCUUGUUAAAUAAUACUUAACUUAAUCUUUUACCACGCGUCUAUUUAUAGUAUUACUGUGCAAACUAUUACUUUUUUCAAAUCUAAUUAUUAUCAAUCACAAUAUUAUCAAGAGGCUCAUAAAACUUAACUCAGUAUUGAAUCUAAAUCGAUACUAACUGGAUCAAAAAUGUCAUUUGUAGCUUGAAGACAUGUGACUGCAAAUUUGGCUGAGAUUGUGGAAACCUAACUUGGCCUGCUAUCGAACCUUGUAAAGAGCUGAUCAAAUUUCUUAACCUAUUUUUUUCCCCCCCUUUAAAUAAAUGAAUACUGAUAAAAACCGCGUUCAUGAAAGAAGACAUCAUGAUUAUGAUGAGCCUAGUGGAACAGACAAAGCCAGCUUAGAUUCUUAGAAUCAUGGUCCAUGGCUGUAAAGCAACGCGUUAAUUUUCCUGCUAUCAGGCUUUCAUUUAACUAACGGGUGAUUUGUCAUCCUCAACAAUUAAUAUUGAUGAUGUCCAUUGACACUGUCCUGUAAUCAGUACUGAACAUAUAAGAUUCUUGUUCUACAUCCCAUAACACAUAAUCAAGCUAUCAACUUUGUUCCGAAUCUUCUAAAACUCGAUUGCCGGGAUAUUAUAUUCAUGUUCAUAUAUACAUAAUCAUUACAUUUAUGUUCUAAUCCAGAUUUAAGGUUAGCCCUAAAUGCUCUGUUUUUUUCUUGGAAGCACAUGGGCGUACCCCCAGAACUAGUACAACAUUAAUUAAAUGCAAAAAAUAAAAAUGUGGAAAAGAAAAGAGACAUUCAAUGAGUCAAGUUACCCCACAUUAUUUUUGUCUUAAUGAUUGCCUUUAGUUUGUAAAGCACAUUCAUACUUUUAAUAGAAUAUCAACCUUCCCCACAUGCUUUCACCAGUCACCACCAAGAAGCCAUAAACAAAGCAGAAUUAGCUGAAGAUUCAACACACAGUAUUUUUAAAAUAUGAAAAAGAGAGACCUUUUUCAUUACUCUCGACAUUGUCUUAACACACAGGAUUUUUUUUUUACACAACCAUUUUUGAUUCUUCACCUUACAACAACACAUAUAUUAGGAUACAAAGUACAUCUUCAUCCCAAGCUUCUUUUUUCACUCCACCAGCAGCUUUCUGAAAUAGAAAACACCCACAAAGACAUUCUCAUUAUACAUUUAUAUAGACCAUAAUUAGGAGAUGAUUCAUAAUAAUCCUAUAUAAUAAGAUAGGCAAAAUUCCUAAGACCCGAAAAACCCUACGAUACCAAAACUAGAGAGGUUGCUGCAUUGUCACGACUAUGGGACUAGUGACAUUGUGCUUCCCAUCUGACCAUACUAUUUUACCACUCUUCAUGCUUGAGCUCCCGGGGGAGAGCUUAACUGCCGUUGCUUCAACUCUAACCAGAAAGUUCAAUUUCUGUCCCACCCGCCUAAACAUAAGCUUCUCCGGCUGCACUGUCACUGUCAUGCCACUGGGUGGCCUGAUUGUAACUUUGUAAGCCGAAUUAGGAUCUCCGACGUUAGUCACCGUCCUAAUGAAAUGUGUAGACAUCUUAUGCUUGCCGUAUUGUUGAAACACUGCAGACAAUGAAGGGUAAUUCAAAUUCCCAACAUGACCAGCUCUUGUUGCUCCGCUGCAGUCUGCUUUUCUCCUUGUGAUCACUUGAAUAUUAUUAACUGUGUAAUUUGAAUUGCACAAGAAAUUCACAUAAUCAUAUGAAGUCAAAUCAUAAAUCAGCCCAGGAUUCAUUGCCUUUUGGGGGUGAACAUGACCAGCUCCAAAAUCUAACGCAGUGGAAGUAUUCCCAGUAGACUCAUCAAUCAUCGUCUCACCCCGAUUAUCAACUGU